GACGAACGCUGGCGGCGUGCUUAACACAUGCAAGUCGAACGAAGUGGCGAACGGGUGAGUAACGCGUAAUCAACCUGCCCUUCAGAGGGGGACAACAGUUGGAAACGACUGCUAAUACCGCAUACUGAAGGCGGGGAUUGCGUCUGAUUAGCUAGUUGGAGGGGUAACGGCCCACCAAGGCGAUGAUCAGUAGCCGGUCUGAGAGGAUGAUCCGCCACACUGGGACUGAGACACGGCCCAUACGCCUACGGGAGGCAGCAGUGGGGAAUUUUGGACAAUGGGCGCAAGCCUGAUCCAGCCAUGCCGCGUGUCUGAAGAAGGCCUUCGGGUUGUAAAGGACUUUUGUCAGGGAAGCGGUACCUGAAGAAUAAGCACCGGCUAACUACGUGCCAGCCGCCGCGGUAAUUC
rnacentral:rRNA from 1 species